GAUGAACGCUGGCGGCGUGCCUAAUACAUGCAAGUCGAGCGAACGGACGAGAAGCUUGCUUCUCUGAUGUUAGCGGCGGACGGGUGAGUAACACGUGGAUAACCUACCUAUAAGACUGGGAUAACUUCGGGAAACCGGAGCUAAUACCGGAUAAUAUUUUGAACCGCAUGGUUCACAAGUGAAAGACGGUCUUGCUGUCACUUCUAGAUGGAUCCGCGCUGCAUUAGCUAGUUGGUAAGGUAACGGCUUACCAAGGCAACGAUGCAUAGCCGACCUGAGAGGGUGAUCGGCCACACUGGAACUGAGACACGGUCCAGACUCCUACGGGAGGCAGCAGUAGGGAAUCUUCCGCAAUGGGCGAAAGCCUGACGGAGCAACGCCGCGUGAGUGAUGAAGGUCUUCGGAUCGUAAAACUCUGUUAUUAGGGAAGAACAUAUGUGUAAGUAACUGUGCACAUCUUGACGGUACCUAAUCAGAAAGCCACGGCUAACUACGUG
rnacentral:rRNA from 1 species